CACGUAGUUAGCCGUGGCUUAUUCAAGAGGUACCGUCUUCUGCUCUUCCCUCUUAAAAGAAGUUUACAACCCGAAAGCCUUCUUCCUUCACGCGGCGUUGCUGGGUCAGGCUUGCGCCCAUUGCCCCAAUAUUCCCCACUGCUGCCUCCCGUAGGAGUCUGGGCCGUAUCUCAGUCCCAAUGUGGCCGGUCAACCUCUCAGUCCGGCUACUGAUCGUCGCCUAGGUGGGCCGUUACCCCGCCUACCUAGCUAAUCAGACGCGAGGCCAUCUUCCAGCGAUAAAUCUUUGGUGUCUCGAUGAUGCCAUCGAAACACAUCAUGCGGUAUUAGCAGUCGUUUCCAACUGUUGUCCCCCGUCUGGAAGGCAGGUUCCCUCACGCGUUACUCACCAGUCCGCCACUAAGCAUUCCCUUCCAUUGUCCGAAAACUCUUUCAGGGGUGCUCCGUUCGACUUGCAUGUGUUAAGCACGCCGCCAGCGUCUCGUCGUGCCAGGACUCGAAACUAC
rnacentral:rRNA from 1 species